AUUGAACGCUGGCGGCAGGCCUAACACAUGCAAGUCGAACGAGUGGCGGACGGGUGAGUAAUGUCUGGGAAACUGCCUGAUGGAGGGGGAUAACUACUGGAAACGGUAGCUAAUACCGCAUACCAUCGGAUGUGCCCAGAUGGGAUUAGCUAGUAGGUGGGGUAAAGGCUCACCUAGGCGACGAUCCCUAGCUGGUCUGAGAGGAUGACCACCCACACUGGAACUGAGACACGGUCCAGACUCCAACGGGGGGCAGCAGUGGGGAAUAUUGCCCAGUGGGCGCAAGCCUACUGCAGCCAUGCCGCGUGUAUGAAAAAGCCCUUCGGGUUGUAAAGUACUUUCAGCGGGGGGGCGUUCCCCGCAGAAGAAGCACCGGCUAACUCCUUGCCAGCGGCCGCGGUAAUA
rnacentral:rRNA from 1 species